rnacentral:rRNA from 1 species
GACGUAGGGCGCGAGCGUUGUCCGGAUUUAUUGGGCGUAAAGAGCUCGUAGGCGGCUUGUCGCGUCGACCGUGAAAACUUGGGGCUCAACCCCAAGCCUGCGGUCGAUACGGGCAGGCUCGAGUUCGGUAGGGGAGACUGGAAUUCCUGGUGUAGCGGUGAAAUGCGCAGAUAUCAGGAGGAAUACCCAUAGCGAAGGCAGCUCGCUGGGACGUUACUGACGCUGAGGCGCGAAAGCGUGGGGAGCGAACAGG